rnacentral:rRNA from 1 species
CUACGGGCCGCUGCAGUGGGGAAUAUUGGACAAUGGGCGCAAGCCUGAUCCAGCCAUGCCGCGUGAGUGAAGAAGGCCCUAGGGUUGUAAAGCUCUUUCAGUGGUGAAGAUAAUGACGGUAGCCACAGAAGAAGCCCCGGCCAACUCCGUGCCAGCAGCCGCGGUAAUACGGAGGGGGCUAGCGUUGUUCGGAAUUACUGGGCGUAAAGCGCGCGUAGGCGGACUGGUCAGUUGGGGGUGAAAUCCCGAGGCUCAACCUCGGAACUGCCCUCAAUACUGCCAGUCUUGAGUUCGAGAGAGGUGAGUGGAAUUCCUAGUGUAGAGGUGAAAUUCGUAGAUAUUAGGAAGAACAUCAGUGGCGAAGGCGGCUCACUGGCUCGAUACUGACGCUGAGGCGCGAAAGCGUGGGGAGCAAACAGGAUUAGAUACCCCAGUAGUC